AACAUUAUACAGCAUGCCUAAAAAACAAGCUUAUUUUUAGAUUACUACAGGCUUGAACUUGGGCUGACAUAACAAGACGCUGCCAAUUACAGCAAGGUUAUUUCCUGAAGAUAAUUGGCCACGGCAUAGAAUCUUCAUGAAAGCACUUCACAUUUGCAUGGAGAACAUCAGCCAGCUGCAAGACUCAGUGAUUUGAAAUGAAGUGCCAGCAGUCAUCCCUUGUACAGCUACUUCUCUGAAGUAACUCCAGUUCCAGUAGAUGUCAUUUCCUCCACAUAUCUCUGCCUGAAAAGUCUGAUGAGGCUGUCACCAGAAAACUUCAGGAACUAAAGGUCCAGAUCCUCAAAAACGUAUCUGAGUUAUUCCAGACGAGUGCAGAAUGGACUACUGUGAUCUAAACAGAGCAAAGUGCUCCAGGAACAGUUGCAACAGACCAAACAAAAAGGAGAGCUAAAGACAAAGGAGCAAUACUGACAGAAAAACAUUAUGAAGAAUUCUCUCUGAAGAUGUUUGCAAGACAGACUCCCAGUAGUUUUGAAUAGCUCUAGUCACUUGUAC